rnacentral:rRNA from 1 species
UAGGGAAUCUUCGACAAUGGACGAAAGUCUGACCGAGCAACGCCGCGUGAGUGAAGAAGGUUUUCGGAUCGUAAAACUCUGUUGGUAGAGAAGAACGUUGGUGAGAGUGGAAAGCUCAUCAAGUGACGGUAACUACCCAGAAAGGGACGGCUAACUACGUGCCAG